UAGAUUUUGAAAACUUACCAGGCUUAUCUGCUGAAGAUUUUGUCACCCUCUGUAUAAUACAUAGAUAUCUUGAUUUUAAAAUUGGAGAAAUAUGGACUGAAGUGUCUGAAGAAAUAAAGUUGGAAAAGUUAAGACUAGUCACUGUAGAUGAAAAAUCCUUGCACUCUAUUAUAGCAGCAACAGAGAAUAUUGGAAAGAUGGUUGCUUCCUUGCAAAGUGAGAUGAUCGAAAACCAAGCACUCCAGGAUGUGCAAAAUGAACAAAGAGUAUAUGCAAAAAUACAAGCUACACAUAAGCAGAGAGAUCAGGCUCACAAGUCAUGGGAAAACUUCUUGGCUAGAACAUCAAAUGCUAAAACAUUAAAGAAAGCAAAGAGACUUCAAGAAAAGGCCAUAGAAUCCUCCAGAUACAGCAAACGACCACAAAAUGCAAUAUUCCACCAAACAGUUAUUAAAGGCCUUAACACAACGGUAACUUCGGGCCAGGUGGUGACAGUGGAAAGCACUCCUACUCGAUUGCUGGGAGGACCUCUGGCUGACACAGACAUUGCUCUUAAAAAACUGCCUAUUCGAGGAGGAGCCUUGCAGAAGGUGAAAGUGAAGCCGCUGGAUGGCCUUAAAAAGACCGUCCCGAUCUGAUGUGUUCCACUGCUGCUGAAAUAAAUUCUACAUGGAGCUUUUUAGCUAAAUGUAUAUUUAUAUACAAAUGCAAGGCAAAACAUUUAGAAUAAAUAUUGUAGUG
rnacentral:lncRNA from 1 species